UACGUAGGGCGCAAGCGUUGUCCGGAUUCAUUGGGCGUAAAGAGCGUGUAGGCGGCCAGGUAGGUCGGUUGUGAAAACUGGAGGCUCAACCUUCAGAGGUCGACCGAAACCAUCUGGCUAGAGUCCGGGAGAGGCGAGUGGAAUUCCGAGUGUAGAGGUGAAAUUCGUAGAUAUUCGGAAGAACACCAGUGGCGAAGGCGGCUCACUGGCCCGGUACUGACGCUGAGGUGCGAAAGCGUGGGGAACAAACAGGG
rnacentral:rRNA from 1 species